CAGUCGCCGCGGUAAUACGAAGGUCCCGAGCGUUGUUCGGAAUCACUGGGCGUAAAGGGAGCGUAGGCGGCGUGGUAAGUCAGAUGUGAAAUCCCGGGGCUCAACCCCGGAGCUGCAUCCGAUACUGCCAUGCUAGAGGAUUGGAGAGGUAGCUGGAAUUCUUGGUGUAGCAGUGAAAUGCGUGGAGAUCAAGAGGAACACUCGUGGCGAAAGCGAGCUACUGGACAAUAACUGACGCUGAGGCUCGAAGGCCAGGGUAACGAAAGGGAUUAGAUACCCGAGUAGUCCCUGUCUCUUAUAC
rnacentral:rRNA from 1 species